rnacentral:rRNA from 1 species
AUGUCUAUUCCACCGAAGUUCAGGAGGAAGAUAUUUGUCGGUGCGGCGGGGCUUUGCGCUGUCGGUGACCAUGGCCAUGUGCACGGCAGCUGCCACUCUACUCCUUUCAAGGUGGUCUUUGUGUACACAACAAAAGAUAUAAGAACCCAUGGAUGUGUUUACUCUUCGGAGACUGGCAUAUGGAAUAUUAUAUCAACAUCGACUCCAUGUCAGCUUUUUGUUGUUUGUUUUGCUGGUACCCUCAUUGCUAAGGCCCUUUAUUGGCCGCUUUUUAUGCCCUGCAAGGGCAUACUGCAGUUUAAUUUGGAAGAGCAGAGCCUAGCAGUGAUUAAGGGGCCUCCUUUGACAAAUGGUUUCUACAAGAGCAGCUUUCGGAUCAUCCAGGCCGAGGACGGUAUUGUUGGCUUAGCCAUAUUGUCUUACCCUCGCUUCCAAAUGUGUAAAAGGGACAUCAAUUGGCAUGGUGUUGCCAUAUGGGUGCUGCAAAAGACCAUUGAAAUACAUAGCAUUCUUGGGCUCCCUCCCCAGAUUGAAGGAGGGACAAGAGUGAGACAAACUAAAGUGGGAUAUUCUGAGGAUACUGAUGUAGUUUUCAUAUUUGUGGGCAGCAGUCUAUACAUGGUUCAACUUAAAUCGAUGCAAUCCAAGAGGCUUUAUGGAACCAGUCAUUUUCCUUGCUACUAUCCUCUCACAAGAUUCUAUGCACCAGGUAAUUGCUCGUCCAUGGCCAAUAUUGUAGGAGUAACCUAA